GACAAAUCCUUACAAUGGGUAUUGAGAGUAUGUUCCUAGAGUUUCAGAGGCCUAGGCAAAAGCAUUGGUACAAAUGAACAUUUUGAAUGCACCCCACUUUCAAGUUUUCAGAGAUAUCUGCCUGAUCGCAUGUACGCGAUUCUGGCAUGCUGGCUGGCUCGUGUGACAGCGGCCUGUCCAAAAUGGCGCCCACGCUUUUGUGUGAUGCUGUGAGCCCUGAAUUUCUGCAGGUGAUCCAUACUUUCUUCCUGCCGGCACAAACUUACCACCAUUGCGAGCACACUCCGCUACCCAGAAUGCAGCUGCUGGUGGUCCGUCUUCUUCAUCCUGCAGCGAACUGGACGGCAUCACCCUAUGAAAAUGUGGUACCUUUAUUUUUCGGCCAUUGCAAUUCUAUUGUCAAUGAACAGGAGUACUACUGUACUCAUAACAUUUACAUCUGCAUGUACGCAUCAGCUGUGUGUUCUAAUGGAUGGUGGUAGUUGCAUAGUGUAAGAGUGCACUCACUGAUUAUGGUGGCUCACUUCGAGGUCUUAACAUGUAGAAAUCCACCAGAUUUACUCUACAGCGUCCUGUAUGCUACGUGAGACAAUAAUGUCUCUUUUGUUUUGUUUUCUGAGACAUUUGUUCAUUGGUGUGUGUGUGUGUGUGUGUGUGUGUGUGUGUGUGUAUGUGUGUGUAUGUGUGUGUACGUGUGUGUACGUGUGUAUGUGUGUGUUUGUGUGUGUGUAUGUGUGGCCACAUGCAAAAUGUUCAUGUCGUGGUUGUUUUGUAUAUGCAUCGCAUUUUGCACGUGAUCUGGGUGUAUGUGGUUUCCCCUUUUCUUCUCCUUCCUCUACAGGACCAUCAUCUAUCAAUUUACUUAGUAUUAUUUCGUUUUGCCCCUGAACAAUUCUGUUGUGGCAUAGGACAUUUGUGAUGAGCCGUCCUUGCCAGUCCACAAUUUUUUUUACACACACACACACACAGCCUUUGGACACUGCAAGUCCUCAAAACGGGUUGACAUAAAAUGACAGGUGUUCUGUUCAGCCCACGGGGAUUGAGUGUGGAUGGGGUAUGGAGGUUGCUGGUGGACCAGUGGCAGGCUUGGUCGACUCCUUGACUUGGCUGAUCAAGGAUAUCAUGCCACAAAAGGAGGUAUGAUGCCCAACAAAACUCUUGUAAUGUCUUCUGGUGUCAAGCUUAAUUUUUAACACGCUCAACUCGCCUGCACUUCGCAGCUGUACAUUGUUGUUUUCCCCCAAGUCGCUUCAAGCGCUCUAGCAAGGCCCGGCACAGUGGUUUCUAAGAAACAGACUGAUUGGGACUGUCCUGGGGGAAAGAUGUGGCAUCAAUGAAAGAUGACCAUGCUUCCUCUACCGUAAGUAGUUCCAGUGCACUUGUGCAUCAGUGAUGAAUACUGUGACAGCGGAUCCAGGAGGGGUUCCAGGGGUUCCGCGGAACCCCUAUAUUUCGUAAAUGUACUACUGGCAACCAUAUGCGUGUCCAUGUACAUGUAUCAGCUAUUCAGUUUUGACUGUACUGGAACCCCCUGUAGAGAUCGCUGGAUCCGCCGCUGUGUAAAUCAACAAAUUUUCGGCCCGGAUUUCGGCCAGAACAAAUUUUCAGCCAAUUAUACGUUGGCCGAUAAUAGCAUAGGGCAUCUGAGCACUUGCUGGGCAGCACUCUCAUACCCGGUAUUCUUGACUGUUUUCAUCUCUACAGGUCCAGACCCGUCAACCCCAGGGGCUAGAUGCUUGCCAUUGAACAACAACGUCCGACCAAGUCGGCAGGAGGGCCAGGACUGCGUCAAUACCACAUCGCCACAGGACUGGUGACAAAAACCAUAAGUAUUUCCGUGAUGUUUUGUUUACUAGACUGGCAGCCAUGACAGUUUGGAACUUACGCCUGGGUCAACUACCUCUCCUCAGCCAUUUUGCAUGAAAACACUAAAACUCGCAUCUAUUGACGGUUAUAGACCAAAUAUAUUCAAUGUAUAAACACACAGAAUUUCUUUGAAUGUCAUUGCAUGAGGGUUUUUUUAAAUAGUUGUGGCUAGUAGCCCAUUAUCUUCUUUUCUAUAGGCGUGAAGCUGCAGAAAGCAUCCAGACUAAUCUGUAACCCAAAGCCAUCAAGUUUGCUUCCGCGGCUACCUUGCAAAUUUGAGACCAUUACAGGGACUGCAGCUCAUUUCUACCUAUACAUAUCUACAAGUUUCUGCACAAACUGCUGAUGAGGUUAUCCAAAGAUCUUCUCCUUUGCGACAGCACCCAAUUUGAAAUUGGCUGAGGAGGGGAGUGGCCUAGUGUAUUCCUUUUCCGCAAACACUUCCACCUCCUUGACGUUUUCCUCUUCUGAGAAGAUAUCACUAGCUCUGGAGCAGCUACAUGUGAAGAUUUUAUCAUACAAUAAUCAUUCCAGUUGUGCUUUCAUGACGCUUGCAGACAAUUUGCUUGAAAAGGACAUUUUUAUGCCUUCUGAAACAGAAUUCGGUCUUUUUUCUUUUUCCCUUUGGAAGUGUUUGCGGAACUGUGAUGUGGGUGCUUAAUUGAAUACUUUGCAUUCAUUCUAUUCAUUAUUGCUUGUAUUAUUUGCAUUAUUUGGGCUGCUGUCUAAAAUGAUUUGUUUGCUCUUAUGCCUCCCUGUAGUCUGUCAAGCCCAGCGUCAAGAUGGACAACGAGCGCUACGGACAUCACCGUCGUAACAAACAUUCUAAGUAUCUCUUUGCUGUGCAUGUUAGACCAGUGCAACAGGUCUUCUCCGUUUCAUUUUCUCCCAGACAAAAGCAAGUUUGCUCAACCUGAACUUCAUUACCUUCCAACUCAUUGGAUCUUCAGCCAUAACUUUUUGCACUGGUCUGUUAUGAGUGUAGUUGGCGUUCUGCAUGGUUUUCUAUCCCAACCCCAUCCCCAGUAGGCCUCUGCAUACAGGGAGUUGGGUUGAACAGCAAUGAAUGCUGGACUGUUUUCAUCCACCCUGGGUAGUAGCAUUUUGCAUGUAACCCUGCCUGCUCCCACAUGCAUAGUCUUUAUUACUCAGUGGUGUUGUCUGCAUGCUUUGACAAUCCCCGUGGGUGGGUAGUUAGGGUACUGAUAUUGUAGUACAGGUUCAUCGGUUUUCUAUCUCCUGUGUUUUUCUUCUCCCCAGCCCAGGUCAAGCGUCGUAGACGGAGGACUUCAUGGUGUCGCCGGAGCUGAGCAAGGAAGCUAUCAGCAUUUCAGCCUCCAAGAAAUGUCGAUGCUGCUCACCAUACCCUUUGGUAUGGUCUUGCACAUCGGAUCAUGGCCAAGUCAAGGAGCCACCCAAGCCUGCCAUCGCCAGCAAUCCCCGUCCUGGGAGUUAUUAUUUUGGUCGAGGAUGUGGGCUUGAACAGAACACCUGUCACCCUGGGAGGGGAUGGGUUCUACAUGUUUCUGUAUAUUGCUGGCUCUUUCUUUUCCAAUAGGAUUGUUGUAUUGGCAGAGUAGCUGUGCAUGCAUGUUGUUGCUGCCUUCAUUUCAGGGAUAAGUCUUUCAGGAUCACCGAUGGAUCUGGAAACAAGAAUGGUCAGCGGCUAGUCUACAUAUGACUACAAGCUGGCAGCUGGGUGGUCCUGACAGACAUUAUUCCAUUUUGGCUUUGGCCGUGUGUGUUCCUGUGGGUGAAUGGCUCACGAAUAAUGACGUCGUUGGAGACGAAUUAUUCACUGAGAUGGCAAUGUGUGAUGGG